GAUGAACGCUGGCGGCGUGCUUAACACAUGCAAGUCGAACGGAAAGGCCCAAGCUUGCUUGGGUACUCGAGUGGCGAACGGGUGAGUAACACGUGGGUGAUCUGCCCUGCACUUCGGGAUAAGCCUGGGAAACUGGGUCUAAUACCGGAUAGGACGAUGGUUUGGAUGCCAUUGUGGAAAGUUUUUUCGGUGUGGGAUGAGCUCGCGGCCUAUCAGCUUGUUGGUGGGGUAAUGGCCUACCAAGGCGUCGACGGGUAGCCGGCCUGAGAGGGUGUACGGCCACAUUGGGACUGAGAUACGGCCCAGACUCCUACGGGAGGCAGCAGUGGGGAAUAUUGCACAAUGGGCGCAAGCCUGAUGCAGCGACGCCGCGUGGGGGAUGACGGCCUUCGGGUUGUAAACUCCUUUCGCUAGGGACGAAGCGUUUUUGUGACGGUACCAGGAGAAGAAGCACCGGCUAACUACGUG
rnacentral:rRNA from 1 species